UCAGGCCUAACACAUGCAAGUCGUACGGGGAUUUUUAAUUCAAGUGGCGGACGGGUGAGUAACACGUAAGAAUUUGCCUUUAGGAGGGGGACAACAACUGGAAACGGUUGCUAAUACCCCAUAUGCUUUCGAGUGAAAUGGAUUUUUCCGCCUAAAGAGAAGCUUGCGGCUGAUUAGCUUGUUGGUGAGGUAAUGGCUCACCAAGGCGACGAUCAGUAUCUGGUUUGAGAGGACGAUCAGACACACUGGAACUGAGA
rnacentral:rRNA from 1 species